GCGCUGGUGGUUCAAGGGUAGAAUUCUCGCCUGCCACGCGGGAGACCGGGGUUCGAUUCCCCGCUAGCGCA
rnacentral:tRNA from 1 species